UACAGGGAGUGGCAAACGGCUGAGUAACGCGUAGGAACCUACCCCAAACUCGAGUAUAGCCCCGCGAAAGCGGGGGUAAUCCUCGAUAGCCCGUGAAGUAUUUUACUUCACGGUAAAGCUUUUGCGGUUUGGGAUGGGCCUGCGUCCUAUCAGGUAGUUGGUGAGGUAAAUGCUCACCAAGCCUAUGACGGGUAGCUGGUCUGAGAGGAUGGUCAGCCAGACUGGGACUGCGACACGGCCCAGACUCCUACGGGAGGCAGCAACUAGGAAUUGUGCGCAAUGGACGAAAGUCUGACGCCGCGACAUCGCGUGGAGGAUGAAGGUCUUCGGAUUGUAAACUCCUUUUCUUACCGAACAAGUUCUGAGUGUAGGUAAGGAAUAAGUGCCUGCUAACCACGUGCCAGAAGCAUCGGUAAUACGUGGGGCACAAGCGUUAUCCGGAUUUACUGGGCGUAAAGAGAAGCGUAGGCGGCUCGAUAAGUUUGGUGUUAAAUCUUCCGGCUCAACCGGAAACAAGCACCGAAAACUAUCGAGAUUGAGUCGAGUAGGGAAGAGGGGAAUUCCUGGUGGAGCGGUUAAAUGCGUAGAUAUCAGGAGGAAUACCAAGGGCGAAGGCACCUCUUUGGACUCGUACUGACGCUGAGGCUCGAAAGCGUGGGUAGCAAAACGGAUUAGAUACCCGUGUAGUCCACGCCGUAAACGAUCCCUGUUAGAUGU
rnacentral:rRNA from 1 species